rnacentral:rRNA from 1 species
GACGAACGCUGGCGGCGUGCCUAAUACAUGCAAGUCGAACGCAGUGGGGACGGGUGAGUAACAAGUGGGUAACCUCCCAACAGAGGGGAUAACAAUUGGAAACAGGUGCUAAAACGAUACUGAUGGAUGGAACCGCGGUGCAUUAGCUAGUUGGUGAGGUAACGGCUCACAAAGGCCACGAUGCAUAGCCGACCUGAGAGGUGGAUCGGCCACACUGGGACGGAGACACGGCCCAGACGCCUACGGGAGGCAGCAGUAGGGAAUCUUCGGCAAUGGACGAAAGUCUGACCGAGCAACGCCGCGUGAGUGAAGAAGGUUUUCGGAUCGUAAAACUCUGUUGUUAGAGAAGCGGUAUCUAACCAGAAAGCCACUGCUAACUACGUGCCAGCAGCCGCGGUAAUUC